rnacentral:rRNA from 1 species
CAGCCGCCGCGGUAAUCCCAGCAGUCCAAGUCGCAACCACAUUUGUUGGGUCUAAAACAUCCGUAGCGCGCUGAGUAAGUCGCUCGUAAAAUCCUGUCUCUUAAGGGCAGAAAUGCGGGCGAUACUGCACAGCUUGGGACCGGGAGACGCAAGAAGUAUGCAUGGAGUAGCGGUAAAAUGUGUUGAUCCUAUGCAGACUAACAAUAGCGAAGGCAUCUUGCGAGCACGGAUCCGACCGUGAGGGAUGAAGGCUAGGGGCGCAAAGUGGAUUAGAUACCCAUGUAGUCCUAGCAGUAAACACUGCACACUGAACAUUGGGGCCUCCUCGAGAGGUUUCAGUGCUGUAGGGAAGCCGGAGAGUGUGCUACCUGGGAAGUAUAGUCGCAAGACCGAAACUUAAAGGAAUUGGCGGGGGAGCAACC